rnacentral:rRNA from 1 species
AGUGAACGCUGGCGGUAUGCCUAACACAUGCAAGUCGAACGGCAGCACAGUAAGAUCUUGCUCUUACGGGUGGCCAGUCGCGUACGUGUUAGGUAUACAUCUGUCCUUACUUUUUCGUUAGCGCUACCGUAGCGAAACUUACGCUACUACCGCAUACGACCUACGGGUGAAAGCAGUUGAUCUUCGGACCUUGCGCGUUUGCAUGUGCCGAUGUCGGAUUAGCUAGUUGGCGGGGUAAAGGCCCACCAAGGCGACGAUCAGUAGCUGGUCUGAGAGGAUGAUCAGCCACACUGGAACUGAGACACGGUCCAGACUCCUACGGGAGGCAGCAGUGGGGAAUAUUGGACAAUGGGCGAAAGCCUGAUCCAGCAAUGCCGCGUGGGUGAAGAAGGCCUUCGGGUUGUAAAGCCCUUUUGUUGGGAAAGAAAACCUGGAGCUUAAUACCCCGCUGUUCUGACGGUACCCAAAGAAUAAGCACCGGCUAACUACGUG